rnacentral:rRNA from 1 species
CCUACGGGAGGCAGCAGUGGGGAAUAUUGCACAAUGGGGGAAACCCUGAUGCAGCGACGCCGCGUGGGUGACGAAGUAUUUCGGUAUGUAAAGCCCUAUCAGCAGGGAAGAAGAUGACAGUACCUGACCAAGAAGCCCCGGCUAACUACGUGCCAGCAGCCGCGGUAAUACGUAGGGGGCAAGCGUUAUCCGGAUUUACUGGGUGUAAAGGGAGGGUAGGUGGCAUGGCAAGCCAGAAGUGAAAACCCGGGGCUUAACCCCGCGGAUUGCUUUUGGAACUGUCAGGCUGGAGUGCAGGAGGGGCAGGCGGCAUUCCUGGUGUAGCGGUGAAAUGCGUAGAUAUCAGGAGGAACACCGGUGGCGAAGGCGGCCUGCUGGACUGUAACUGACACUGAGGCUCGAAAGCGUGGGGAGCAAACAGGAUUAGAUACCCGGGUAGUC